UGAGUUCUCAAAGAUGCCCUCUAUCUCCCUAGUUCACAGACGAGGAGACCGAGACCCAGGCAGGGGAAGCAAGUUGGCCCAGGUCACCCAGCAAGUCAGUGGUAGAGGUAGGACAACCCCCAAGCUGCAAGCGGACCCGGUUUCUUUCUUCUCCACUCUCCUCCCUGUCUGUCCAGGUCGCCUGGGGCCAUUAAUUCCUAUAAAAGGCUGCCCUGGGUCAGGGAAGGCUGCUGAGCUGUUUGUUCCCAGCCGGGCAGCAGCUCUAGGCCUGCGGGUGGCUCCUUUUCCAAGCGCUGGCUGGCGGAAGCCUGGGUGCUGUCUAAUCCAGCUUUCUCCUCUUGUCCUCCCCAGGGCAUCUCCUCCCAACCAGGCAGCUCCCCCAGUGGCACUGUGGUGUGAAACGUGGAUGUCCCAUGUCCCUGGCCUCCUAGCCAUAACCCUCCCUGCUGACCUCAAGAAUCACUGUAUUAACAAGACUAAUCAUGACGGAAGGACUCCUUCAAGCCCCCACCCUGCACAAAUACUGGGGGUCCCCUAGGUUGGCCCAGCCAUGGGGAUGUAGUGGCCUGUGUGGCCUUGACUCUGUCCUCUGAAACAUCAGUGUUAACCGUCCCAGUCCCAGCAUGUGACUGUUCACUCCUGGGAGAGACUUAGCCCACAACAGCCCAGCUCCACAGCACCCCUUGGGUGAGAGGGCAGGGCAGGGGCUCCCCCUCCAGCCUGAACCCCACCCCUUGCUAUGGUCUGUGCUUUUGAAAGUGUUAAAUUAUGGACGCCCCCAGGGCCCUCCUUGUCCCCUUAGCCCUCUUAUUUAUACUAAAGUCCUUGUUUGCA
rnacentral:lncRNA from 1 species